UAGGGAAUCUUCGGCAAUGGACGAAAGUCUGACCGAGCAACGCCGCGCGAGUGAAGAAGGUUUUCGGAUCGUAAAACUCUGUUGUUAGAGAAGAACAAGGACGUUAGUAACUGAACGUCCCCUGACGGUAUCUAACCAGAAAGCCACGGCUAACUACGUGCCAGCAGCCGCGGUAAUACGUAGGUGGCAAGCGUUGUCCGGAUUUAUUGGGCGUAAAGCGAGCGCAGGCGGUUUCUUAAGUCUGAUGUGAAAGCCCCCGGCUCAACCGGGGAGGGUCAUUAGAAACUGGGAGACUUGAGUGCAGAAGAGGAGAGUGGAAUUCCAUGUGUAGCGGUGAAAUGCGUAGAUAUAUGGAGGAACACCAGUGGCGAAGGCGGCUCUCUGGUCUGUAACUGACGCUGAGGCUCGAAAGCGUGGGGAGCAAACAG
rnacentral:rRNA from 1 species